CUGGGACUGAGACCCGGCCCAGACUCCUACGGGAGGCAGCAGUAGGGAAUUCUCCACAAUGGACGAAAGUCUGAUGGAGCAACGCCGCGUGAGUGAAGAAGGUUUUCGGAUCGUAAAACUCUGUGUUGGAGAAGAAUGUAUCUGAUAGUAACUGAUCAGGUAGUGACGGUAUCCAACCAGAAAGCCACGGCUAACUACGUGCCAGCAGCCGCGGUAAUACGUAGGUGGCAAGCGUUGUCCGGAUUUAUUGGGCGUAAAGCGAGCGCAGGCGGUUUCUUAAGUCUGAUGUGAAAGCCUUCGGCUCAACCGAAGAAGUGCAUCGGAAACUGGGAAACUUGAGUGCAGAAGAGGACAGUGGAACUCCAUGUGUAGCGGUGAAAUGCGUAGAUAUAUGGAAGAACACCAGUGGCGAAGGCGGCUGUCUGGUCUGUAACUGACGCUGAGGCUCGAAAGCAUGGGUAGCAAACAGGAUUAGAUACCCUGGUAGUCCAUGCCGUAAACGAUGAGUGCUAGGUGUUGGAGGGUUUCCGCCCUUCAGUGCCGCAGCUAACGCAUUAAGCACUCCGCCUGGGGAGUACGACCGCAAGGUUGAAACUCAAAGGAAUUGACGGGGGCCCGCACAAGCGGUGGAGCAUGUGGUUUAAUUCGAAGCAACGCGAAGAACCUUACCAGGUCUUGACAUCCUUUGACCACUCUAGAGAUAGAGCUUUCCCUUCGGGGACAAAGUGACAGGUGGUGCAUGGUUGUCGUCAGCUCGUGUCGUGAGAUGUUGGGUUAAGUCCCGCAACGAGCGCAACCCUUAUUACUAGUUGCCAGCAUUUAGUUGGGCACUCUAGUGAGACUGCCGGUGACAAACCGGAGGAAGGUGGGGACGACGUCAAAUCAUCAUGCCCCUUAUGACCUGGGCUACACACGUGCUACAAUGGAUGGUACAACGAGUUGCGAGACCGCGAGGUUUAGCUAAUCUCUUAAAACCAUUCUCAGUUCGGAUUGUAGGCUGCAACUCGCCUACAUGAAGCCGGAAUCGCUAGUAAUCGCGGAUCAGCAUGCCGCGGUGAAUACGUUCCCGGGCCUUGUACACACCGCCCGUCACACCAUGAGAGUUUGUAACACCCAAAGCCGGUGAGGUAACCCUUCGGGGAGCCAGCCGUCUAAG
rnacentral:rRNA from 1 species